UCAUGCCCCUUAUGACCUGGGCUACACACGUGCUACAAUGGGCGGUACAAAGGGUCGCGAACCCGCGAGGGGGAGCCGAAUCCCAAAAAGCCGCUACUCAGUUCGGAUUGCAGGCUGCAACUCGCCUGCAUGAAGCCGGAAUCGCUAGUAAUCGCGGAUCAGCAUGCCGCGGUCGAAUACGUUCCCGGGCCUU
rnacentral:rRNA from 1 species